UUCAAAAAUAUACAUAUAUACCUUUACAUUUCGUCCGUCUUAUUUGAAAAUUUUUUGAAAAAAUUUAAAACCAUAAGACACGUAUAAAGUACUAUUCAUGUUUUAUCAUCUCAUAAGAAUAAAAAUACUAAUUAUUAAAAAAGUUAAAUAAGACAGACAAUUAAAGUUGGGCACGAAAAUUAUGGUUGCACUUAAA
rfam:Oryza sativa Japonica Group DNA, chromosome 9, cultivar: Nipponbare, complete sequence.